rnacentral:rRNA from 1 species
AACGAACGCUGGCGGCAUGCCUAACACAUGCAAGUCGAACGAGACCUUCGGGUCUAGUGGCGCACGGGUGCGUACCGCGUGGGAACCUGCCCUUAGGUUCGGAAUACCUGCCCGAAAGGGGUGCUAAUACCGGAUAAUGUCUUCGGACCAAAGAUUUAUCGCCUUUGGAUGGGCCCGCGUUGGAUUAGCUAGUUGGUAGGGUAAAAGCCUACCAAGGCGACGUUGCAUAGCUGGUCUGAGAGGAGGAUCAGCCACACUGGGGCUGAGACACGGCCCAGACUCGUACGGGAGGGAGCAGUGGGGAAUAUUGGGCGAUGGGCGAUAGUGUGAUCCAGCAAUGCCGGGUGAGUGAUGAAGGCCUUAGGAUUGUAAAGCUCUUUUACCCGGGAUGAUAAUGACAGUACCGGGAGAAGAAGCACCGGCUAACUCCGUG